AUGGCUCAGGACGAACGCUGGCGGCGUGCUAAUACAUGCAAGUCGAGCGGACCGACGGGAGCUUGCUCCUUUAGGUCAGCGGCGGACGGGUGAGUAACACGUGGGUAACCUGCCUGUAAGACUGGGAUAACUCCGGGAAACCGGGGCUAAUACCGGAUGCUUGAUUGAACCGCAUGGUUCAAUCAUAAAAGGUGGCUUUUAGCUACCACUUACAGAUGGACCCGCGGCGCAUUAGCUAGUUGGUGAGGUAACGGCUCACCAAGGCGACGAUGCGUAGCCGACCUGAGAGGGUGAUCGGCCACACUGGGACUGAGACACGGCCCAGACUCCUACGGGAGGCAGCAGUAGGGAAUCUUCCGCAAUGGACGAAAGUCUGACGGAGCAACGCCGCGUGAGUGAUGAAGGUUUUCGGAUCGUAAAACUCUGUUGUUAGGGAAGAACAAGUACCGUUCGAAUAGGGCGGUACCUUGACGGUACCUAACCAGAAAGCCACGGCUAACUACGUGCCAGCAGCCGCGGUAAUACGUAGGUGGCAAGCGUUGUCCGGAAUUAUUGGGCGUAAAGCGCGCGCAGGCGGUUUCUUAAGUCUGAUGUGAAAGCCCCCGGCUCAACCGGGGAGGGUCAUUGGAAACUGGGGAACUUGAGUGCAGAAGAGGAGAGUGGAAUUCCACGUGUAGCGGUGAAAUGCGUAGAGAUGUGGAGGAACACCAGUGGCGAAGGCGACUCUCUGGUCUGUAACUGACGCUGAGGCGCGAAAGCGUGGGGAGCGAACAGGAUUAGAUACCCUGGUAGUCCACGCCGUAAACGAUGAGUGCUAAGUGUUAGAGGGUUUCCGCCCUUUAGUGCUGCAGCAAA
rnacentral:rRNA from 1 species